rnacentral:rRNA from 1 species
CCUACGGGAGGCUGCAGUAGGGAAUAUUGCUCAAUGGGGGAAACCCUGAAGCAGCAACGCCGCGUGGAGGAUGAAGGUUUUCGGAUUGUAAACUCCUGUUGUUAGAGAAGAUAAUUACGGUAUCUAACGAAUAAGCACCGGCUAACUCCGUGCCAGCAGCCGCGGUAAUACGGAGGGUGCAAGCGUUACUCGGAAUCACUGGGCGUAAAGAGCGCGGAGGCGGGAUAGCAAGUCAGAUGUGAAAUCCUAUGGCUUAACCAUAGAACUGCAUUUGAAACUGUUAUUCUAGAGUAUGGGAGAGGUAGGUGGAAUUCUGGGUGUAGGGGUAAAAUGCGUAGAGAUCCAGAGGAAUACUGAUGGCGAAGGCGACCUGCUAGAACAUAACUGACGCUGAUGCGCGAAAGCGUGGGGAGCAAACAGGAUUAGAUACCCGUGUAGUC